UCAGUGUUCUUUUUCAAAGAGGGUAAAAAUGUCUUGAUGUCUUGUUCCCAUCCAUCUUAUUGGCAGCACUGCCAUCUUCCACUGAGCAGUCAUCUUCCUCCUUAGAUUCUAUUCACAGUUAAAGUGAGCUAAAACAUGAAUUUGAUGUUAAGAACGAUGUGAUUAUUACUGCACUGAAACUGGAAGCCAAUUUAGAUCUAUUUCUACCCUAAAUGUCCAUUGUAGUUUAUGGGAAAAGCAAUGAUUCCUAGAAGUGCUUGGUACUCAGACAAAACAAAGUAAAAUGUGCAUAUUUAUGAUAAAUCAGAGACUAUAGAUUUCGUUCUAUUCUAUGCUCUAGUGACUUUGUUUACAUUAGUUGCAGUGUUUUGUAUAUUAUACUGCAGAUUCCUGACUAAAACACUAAUGUUACUAUGGAAAUUCACUUUUGCAAAUUUGUAAAUGUUUUUGCCACUGCAACCAUACUAAUGGGAAUUUGGGGUAUUAAAAAUGUCUGUAUCUAUAAAGGUUAAUUCACUGGAAACAACUGAUUUAUGUAUUGGCCAAGGAAAUAAAUGCAAAAACUUCUUGUGAUGUUUUAAUACCUAAUAUGCUAAGCAGUACUAGUUUGUUCUGUUCAAAAUUAAUUCAUGUUUAAUAGAUCAUUGUUUUCUACUUAAAGGUAUUGCAGUGUGUAAUGCAGAAAUUUUGUAUGUACUAUUGACUUAUUACUGAUUGCUGAGAGAAUGUGUGAAAAUGUUUUGAAUGCUUGUGAUAAAAAUUUAAUUAUUUCUGGGAAGUUUAUGGUGAUUAUCACUUUACUUAAGAUUUGUUCUCAAAAAAUCAUUUUUAAAAAGUGAAUUGGCAGGUGGAAGUUUCUAACCCCAAAGAAUUCUGGGUUUCAGCACAAUAAACUGUAUUUCAUCAGGGAGGAUUAACUUUCAUUUUUUCCCACUUUAUUUAAAUGUGAAUAUUUUUUCAUGAUACAGAAUAAAAUGUGCAUUUUAU
rnacentral:lncRNA from 1 species